GAUGAAGAACGCAGCGAAAUGCGAUAAGUAAUGUGAAUUGCAGAAUUCAGUGAAUCAUCGAAUCUUUGAACGCACCUUGCGCUCCCUGGUAUUCCGGGGAGCACGCCUGUUCGAGUGUCGCGAUAUUCUUCAAGCCUUGGAUGGAUUUUUUUUUUGUCUGUCCUUGGGCUUGGUUGUUGGGCUCUGCCGUGUCCUUCAUUGGGACGGCUGGCCUUAAAAGCAUUAGCCGAUCCUCGUGUGGUACUGGUUCUACUCAGCGUGAUAACAAUCUGAUCGUUGAGGACAUCUUCUGGAUGGCCAGUCAUCAUUUGGGUUGCUUCUAAACCGGUUUCGCAGAUUGCUCAAUCUGUGUGCCACUUUUCAGCUUUGACCUCGAAUCAGGUGGGACUACCCGCUGAACUUAAGCAUAUCAAUAAGCGGAGGA
rnacentral:misc_RNA from 1 species